rnacentral:rRNA from 1 species
GUAGGUGGCAAGCGUUGUCCGGGAAUUAUUGGGGCGUAAAGCGCGCGCAGGCGGUUCUUUAAGUCUGAUGUGAAAGCCCACGGGCUCAACCGUGGAGGGUCAUUGGAAACUGGAGAACUUGAGUACAGAAGAGGAAAGCGGAAUUCCACGUGUAGCGGUGAAAUGCGUAGAGAUGUGGAGGAACACCAGUGGCGAAGGCGGCCUUCUGGUCUGUAACUGACGCUGAGGCGCGAAAGCGUGGGGAGCAAACAGGAUUAGAUACCCUGGUAGUCCACGCCGUAAACGAUGAGUGCUAAGUGUUAGGGGGUUUCCGCCCCUUAGUGCUGCAGCUAACGCAUUAAGCACUCCGCCUGGGGAGUACGGCCGCAAAGGCUG